AUGUACCCACGUACACUCCGGUUCCUCCGCGCCGUCCGCACCCACCUGACGGCUGCUCGCUACGGUUUGUUAGCC
rnacentral:sRNA from 3 species